rnacentral:rRNA from 1 species
UACGUAGGGCGCAAGCGUUGUCCGGAAUUAUUGGGCGUAAAGAGCUCGUAGGCGGCUUGUCACGUCGGAUGUGAAAGCCCGAGGCUUAACCUCGGGUCUGCAUUCGAUACGGGCUAGCUAGAGUGUGGUAGGGGAGAUCGGAAUUCCUGGUGUAGCGGUGAAAUGCGCAGAUAUCAGGAGGAACACCGGUGGCGAAGGCGGGUCUCUGGGCAACAACUGACGCUGAGGAGCGAAAGCGUGGGGAGCGAACAGG